CCAAUAGCGUAUAUUAAAGUUGCUGCAGUUAAAAAGCUCGUAGUUGAAUUUCGGGACCAAUAUGUCGGUCGUGCCUCGGUACGUACUGGCAUCGUUGGUUUCUCCCUUCUGAAGAACCAUGAUGUCAUUCAUUUGGUGUCGUGGGGAAUCAGGACUGUUACUUUGAAAAAAUUAGAGUGUUUAAAGCAGGCUCACGCUUG
rnacentral:rRNA from 2 species